rnacentral:ncRNA from 1 species
AUAUCAGGGGUGCUGUUUUAACGGCUGAGACGGAAAAUGUUCCGAACCCUUUAAACCUGAACGGAUAAUACCGGCGUAGGGAGAUA